UUAUAAAGAUUGAUAAUUUGAGUUAUAGAGGUUAAUAAUAUUUGAGUGAUAGGGGUUAAAAAUAUAUUUGAGUUAUAGAGGUUAAUAAUAAUUUGAGUUAUAGAGGUUAAUAAUAAUUUGAGUUAUAGAGGUUAAUAAUAAUUUGAGUUAUAGAGGUUAAUAAUAAUUUGAGUUAUAGAGGUUAAAAGUAAUUUGAGUUAUAGAGGUUAAUAAUAAUU